rnacentral:rRNA from 1 species
UGAGGAAUAUUGGGCAAUGCCCGCAAGGGUGACCCAGCAACGCCGCGUGGAGGAUGAAUGUCGUAAGAUUGUAAACUCCUGUUAGAGGGGAGGAAUAGUACCGGUUGGACCGGUAUAUGACUGUACCCUCAGAGAAAGCCCCGGCUAACUACGUGCCAGCAGCCGCGGUAAUACGUAGGGGGCAAGCGUUGUCCGGAUUUACUGGGUGUAAAGGGCGCGCAGGCGGAAUGGAAAGUCAGUGGUGAAAUCCUACAGCUUAACUGUAGAACUGCCUUUGAUACUUUCAUUCUUGAGUUCGGGAGAGAGAGACGGAAUUCCAGGUGUAGUGGUGAAAUACGUAGAUAUCUGGAAGAACACCAGUUGCGAAGGCGGUCUCUUGGUCCGAUACUGACGCUGAGGCGCGAAAGCGUGGGGAGCAAACA